rnacentral:rRNA from 1 species
AUUCCUUUGAUUUUGGGGAUAACAUAAAGCGAGCGGCACCUAUAAUACAUGUUAGGGAACGAGUAGUUUACAAACUAUAUGUCCCGGACAGGUGAGUAAUACUUUAGAAUUAACCAAUUGGGCACUAGAAAAUAGUGAAUCAAAGUAUAUGUUAUAACCAAUUGAUAAUCUGGAGUCGUAUUAGGUAGAGGAUUGUGUCCUGCCAAAGAUGCGUAGUCGAGAGACCACACUUUCACUGAAAUAAGGGAAAGACUCGUAUAGAGGCUGCAGUAGAGAAUCUUGUGCAAUGUAUGAAAGUACGACACAGGGAUGUCGCAGAAGAUAGACCGUCAAAUAUACGUGCCAGCCGACGCGGUUAUACGUAAGGUCUAAGUUUUUGUUCAGAAAGGCGUAAAGGGUGCGUAGGUGAAUGAGUAAAAAGAGGGGUAAAUAUAACUUUUAUGUAGCGGUAGAAUGCUUGAAUAUAAACAGGUACAUCAAAAGCGAAGGCAAUUUACUACAACAAACUGACACUCAAGCACGAAAGUUAGGGUAGCAAACAGGAUUAGAUACCCUGGUAGUCCUUACUGUAAACUAUGAGAAUUAGAUUAGAAGUAAGUCUACGAGAACUCAAAAAAAAAAACUCCGCCUGAAGAUUACGAUUGCAAGAUUAAAAUUUAAAAAAUUUGGCGGUUCACUAAACCAAUUAGAGGGGCGUGUAGUUUAAUUCGAUGAUCCGCGAUUAACCUUACCAAAGUUUGUAUAUUUAAUACGUAAAUAAAUCAGUACUAAAUACAGGUAUUGCAUGGCCGUCGUCAGUUCGUGUUGUGAAAGAAAUAGAAGGAGCUCAACCCUUAACGAUAAUUUUGUUGGAAUUACGUAAUUAAGGAUGACGUCAGGUCCUUAUGAUCCAAAUGUUUUGGGCGAUAUAUGCGCCACAAUCUUUUAUACAAAGAGAAAGACAAGAAAACUUUAAAAUAAAAGUUCGGAUUGUACCUUGAAAUAGGGGCAUAAAGUUGGAUUUAAUAGUAAUCGAAAAGCAGAGCGUUUCGGUGAAUUCGGCUCUAGUGUUCGUACAAAUCGCCCGUCACCUCCACUAAGUAAAUAAUUUUUAAGUGUUUAACUUAAGUUAAAGAAAUAAAUAUUAAAUAUUAAUUUUCUUUUAUUAUCUAAGCUCGUUAACAGUAGUUGAAUAUUAGGGAGAGUUUAUAAGGUGGAGAAAGUCGUAACAUAGUGAGGGUAUUGGAAAAUGCCCUCGGAUUAAU